rnacentral:rRNA from 1 species
AUUCCAGCUCCAAUAGCGUAUAUUAAAGUUGUUGCAGUUAAAAAGCUCGUAGUUGGAUUUCUGGCAGGAGCGACCGGUCACACACUCUGUGUGUGAACUUGUGUUGUCUCUGGCCAUCCUUGGGGAGAUCCUGUUUGGCAUUAAGUUGUCGGGCAGGGGACAUCCAUCGUUUACUGUGAAAAAAUUAGAGUGUUUAAAGCAGGCUUAUGCCGUUGAAUAUAUUAGCAUGGAAUAAUAAGAUAGGACUUCGGAACUAUUUUGUUGGUUUGCGUUACGAAGUAAUGAUUAAUAGGGACAGUUGGGGGUAUUCGUAUUUCGUUGUCAGAGGUGAAAUUCUUGGAUUUCCGAAAGACGAACUACUGCGAAAGCAUUUACCAAGGAUGUUUUCAUUA